CCUACGGGAGGCAGCAGUGGGGAAUAUUGCGCAAUGGGCGAAAGCCUGACGCAGCGACGCCGCGUGAGGGAUGAAGGUCUUCGGAUCGUAAACCUCUGUCAGCAGGGAAGAACGGUCACUGUGCUAAUCAGCAGUGAAUUGACGGUACCUGCAAAGGAAGCACCGGCUAACUCCGUGCCAGCAGCCGCGGUUAUACGGAGGGUGCGAGCGUUAAUCGGAAUUACGGGGCGUAAAGCGAUCGUAGGUGGUAUGUCAAGGGAAGGGUGAAAUCCCCGCGUGAAACGUGGGAACUGCCUUUGACACUGGCAGACGAGAGUGUGUGAGAGGAUAGUGGAAUUCCUGGUGUAGGAGUGAAAGCCGGAGAUAUCUGGAGGAACAUCAGUGGCGAAGGCGACUAUCUGGCACAUAACUGACGCUGAGGAGCGAAAGCGUGGGUAGCGAACAGGAUUAGAUACCCCAGUAGUC
rnacentral:rRNA from 1 species